rnacentral:rRNA from 1 species
UACGGAGGGGGCUAGCGUUGUUCGGAAUUACUGGGCGUAAAGCGCACGUAGGCGGCUUUGCAAGUUAGAGGUGAAAGCCCGGGGCUCAACCCCGGAAUUGCCUUUAAAACUGCAUCGCUUGAAUUGUGGAGAGGUAAGUGGAAUUCCGAGUGUAGAGGUGAAAUUCGUAGAUAUUCGGAGGAACACCAGUGGCGAAGGCGGCACUCUGGGCCAGUACUGACACUGAGGAGCGAAAGCGUGGGUAGCGAACAGG